AACGAACGCUGGCGGCAGGCUUAACACAUGCAAGUCGAGCGCCCCGCAAGGGGAGCGGCAGACGGGUGAGUAACGCGUGGGAACGUACCCUUUGCUACGGAAUAGCUCCGGGAAACUGGAAUUAAUACCGUAUGUGCCCUACGGGGGAAAGAUUUAUCGGCAAAGGAUCGGCCCGCGUUGGAUUAGCUAGUUGGUGGGGUAAUGGCCUACCAAGGCGACGAUCCAUAGCUGGUCUGAGAGGAUGAUCAGCCACAUUGGGACUGAGACACGGCCCAAACUCCUACGGGAGGCAGCAGUGGGGAAUAUUGGACAAUGGGCGCAAGCCUGAUCCAGCCAUGCCGCGUGAGUGAUGAAGGCCUUAGGGUUGUAAAGCUCUUUCAGUGGGGAAGAAGCGAAAGUGACGGUACCUGCAGAAAAAGCACCGGCUAACUACGUGCCAGCCGCCGCCGUAAUAC
rnacentral:rRNA from 1 species